AGAGAAAAAUAAAAUAAAACCAAACAAUAAAGUCCUCAAGAGAAUUACCCACUUUCCCUACCAUCUUUUCUUUUUCUUUCUCUCCAACCAAACAGCUUCACUCCUACUCUUCCUUCUCAAGUGUCACCACAAAAACCCCGGUCAUUUAGAGACAAAAGUAGGCUAAGAAAGUGGCCUUUCAGGUAGAAAAUUAUAUGCCUUGAACUUGUGUUUAGAGCUAUAUGCCAAACUGACAACUCAAAAGCAAAGGGAAGUUAUGAGGGGCAGUGUCACCUUGAACCCAACUUUAUUAUGACCGAUUACGAGUUUAUUCAAGAUGUCACCCUCCUGUUUCUUUAUUUUCAGUAACAUAUUUCCUUUUCUUCAGUAUAUAUACAGCUCCUUGCCUCCUUUUUCUAAUGCAAUCUUCUUAACCUCAACAGUUUUUGUUCAUUUUCUUCAACACUUCUCAAGUAUGUGUGUGUAUUCAUGCUUGAGAAUGCUUGCCAUGUGGUGCUUCUUCACUGCCUUAGACACCAUUGUCCAAGCAUUAUCAUCAUUAUUCGGUUAUAGACACUAAAAAGUAACAGGACGUUAUACAUUCAGUGUGCCUCAACAUAUAUAUAUAUACAUAUAUAUGUAUAUUAUGCAUCCAUUCAUUUUCAUAUUCAUAUAUCAUCAUGCUUGCAUUAUAUUAAUUAAAUGCAUAUUUUGCAUGCCUGGCUCCCUGUAUGCCAUUUGCAAAGCUCAUCAAGAGUCUGGUGGCCUUGGCGUAUGGCGUGCGAGGAGCCAUGCAUGCAUACUGAUGUCUUAAUCAGGGGAAAUCGAAAAAAGAGUUCGGAUUUCCAUAACAAAAUAAGCUUAGGGAUACAGAGAAGGAGGACUCUGUGUUUCACUCUAUUUUCCUCAUUUCCUAGGAAGAAUUCAACUAGCAAACUGUAAUAUGCUUCUUUUUUUUUAUAUGAAAAGAAUGAAAAGUUGUAGUGGGAAAA